GACGAACGCUGGCGGCGCGCCUAACACAUGCAAGUCGAACGGAGCUGAGAGAAGCUUGCUUUUCUUAGCUUAGUGGCGAACGGGUGAGUAACGCGUGAGUAACCUGCCCUGGAGUGGGGGACAACAGUUGGAAACGACUGCUAAUACCGCAUAAGCCCACGAUCCGGCAUCGGAUUGAGGGAAAAGGAUUUAUUCGCUUCAGGAUGGACUCGCGUCCAAUUAGCUAGUUGGUGAGGUAACGGCCCACCAAGGCGACGAUUGGUAGCCGGACUGAGAGGUUGAACGGCCACAUUGGGACUGAGACACGGCCCAGACUCCUACGGGAGGCAGCAGUGGGGGAUAUUGCACAAUGGGGAAAACCCUGAUGCAGCGACGCCGCGUGGAGGAAGAAGGUUUUCGGAUUGUAAACUCCUGUCGUUAGGGACGAUAAUGACGGUACCUAACAAGAAAGCACCGGCUAACUACGUG
rnacentral:rRNA from 1 species